AAACCCGAUGACCCGACCCAAGCAUGGCAAGAUCCGCGUGUUCUGACAAAGGGGGAGGGAUAUUUGCAUGAUUAAUCCAUGUAUUUUCUGAUGUUUUUUAUCAUUUUUUUUACCUUUUAAAUUUAGUUCAGUAUUUUGCUAUUUGUUUUACCUUGGUCCAGUAAUGCAUUAAAUUCUUUUUUUAAUUUUCCAUCCCAUAAAUGCAUCUAUUUUAAAUCUAAUCUUGUUUUACAAAUCAAAC
rnacentral:lncRNA from 1 species